rnacentral:rRNA from 1 species
AACGAACGCUGGCGGCAGGCCUAACACAUGCAAGUCGAGCGAACCGCAAGGUUAGCGGCGGACGGGUUAGUAACGCGUGGGAACGUGCCCAAAGGUACGGAAUAGCCUCGGGAAACUGAGAGUAAUACCGUAUGUGCCCGAAAGGGGAAAGAUUUAUCGCCUUUGGAUCGGCCCGCGUUGGAUUAGGUAGUUGGUGGGGUAAUGGCCUACCAAGCCGACGAUCCAUAGCUGGUUUGAGAGGAUGAUCAGCAACACUGGGACUGAGACACGGCCCAGACUCCUACGGGAGGCAGCAGUGGGGAAUCUUAGACAAUGGGGGAAACCCUGAUCUAGCCAUGCCGCGUGAGCGAUGAAGGCCUUAGGGUUGUAAAGCUCUUUCACCGGGGAAGAUAAUGACGGUACCCGGAGAAGAAGCCCCGGCUAACUCUGUGCCAGCCGCCGCGGUAACAC